GAUGAACGCUAGCUACAGGCUAACACAUGCAAGUCGAGGGGAAACGAUAGAGAAAGCUUGCUUUUUCUAGGCGUCGACCGGCGCACGGGUGAGUAACGCGUAUCCAACCUGCCCAUCACUUGGGGAUAACCUUGCGAAAGUAAGACUAAUACCCAAUGACGUCUCUAGAAGACAUCUGAAAGGGAUUAAAGAUUUAUCGGUGAUGGAUGGGGAUGCGUCUGAUUAGCUUGUUGGCGGGGUAACGGCCCACCAAGGCGACGAUCAGUAGGGGUUCUGAGAGGAAGGUCCCCCACAUUGGAACUGAGACACGGUCCAAACUCCUACGGUAGGCAGCAGUGAGGAAUAUUGGUCAAUGGACGAGAGUCUGAACCAGCCAAGUAGCGUGCAGGAUGACGGCCCUAUGGGUUGUAAACUGCUUUUAUAAGGGAAUAAAGUGAGAGUCGUGACUCUUUUUGCAUGUACCUUAUGAAUAAGGACCGGCUAAUUCCGUGCCAGCCGCCGCGGUAA
rnacentral:rRNA from 1 species